UAAGGAAAUAUUAGGUUACUAAUUCUAUCUAUACUUUCUCUGAAUUUUUUAUUCUUAACAAUAGACUAUACCCAGUUUUCUUCUCCUUUUUCUUCCUUAUUAUACAUUCUAUGAUGGAGUAGUCCUUUGUCCCAAGGUUUCCAUCAUUUCUAUUUCCUUCUUUUAUGGUAAGAACCUGAUCUAGCAUAGUAAUUCUCCUGUCUCUUCCUCACCUUUUGAAGGAUGAAGUGAUUAUCUUUAAUACAAGAUAUAAAUAUAUUAGUUGCUCUCAGACAUUUCCAGCAGAUAUCUAGAUAAUUGAAAUCCUACAUCACUGGAGAUUUUUUACUUCUUGUGCUAGGGUGUCAUCAACUAAGACUGGUAUGAAUUGUGAGAAUUUAUUUUUCACAUACUGUAUUAAAUCUUAUAUCAGGGUCCUGGAUUAGAAAGGCCCCAAUUCCUAUAUAUUAGAGAAAAUUACUGUAUAUUUGGGAUCUGGGUCAGAGAUUCUAUUUAGUCUACUACUUUUUGCCUUGUAAUCCUGUCACUGAUGUGGUACUGUAGGUAUUAUUAUCCUCUUUUCUUAGGGAACAGCUAGGUUGGCCUGUGUAUAGAGCACAAGAAUCUAGAGUCAGGAAGAUCUGAAUUCAACUCCAAAUGCAGAAAUUUAUUGGCUAUGUGACUAUGGGCAAGUCACAUAACCCUGUUUGCCUCAAUUUCCUCAUUUUAAAAAUGAGCAGGAAAAGGCAAAGGCAAGGUACUCUAGUGUCUUUGCCAACAAAACACUAAAUAUGGUCAUGAAAAAUUGGACACAGAUGAAAAGACUAAACAACAACAACAAAAACCCUUUUUACAAAGGAGGAAACUAUUGUGCUAUAAAGAAUGAUGUACUGGAGGAUUUCUACAUGAAAUGGAAGAACUUCCAUGAACUGAUGCAGAGUGAAAGGAACAGAACCAAGAGAACUUCAUACAUAGAAAGUGAAACACUGUGGAAUUGUCCAAUGUAAUGGCCUUUACUACUAGUAGUAGUGUAAUGAUCCAGGACAAUCCCCAGAGAAAGAACACUAUCCAGUCAAGAGAAAGAUCUAUGGGAGAACACAGAAGAAAAACAUGACUUACCACUUGUUUAUACGGGUAUAUGAUUGUGGGUUUUGGUUUUAAAAGAUUGCUCUAUUGCAAAAAUGAAUAAUGUGGAAAUAGGUACCAAGUGGUAACAUUUCUAUAAUCCAGUGGAAUUUCUUGUUGGUUCUGAGAGAGAGGAGGGAAGAGGGGAGAGAAAGAAAAUGAAUCAUGUAAACAAAGAAAAAUAUUUUUAAAACAUUAAAAAAAAAGCAAAGGAAGAAACUGAAGAUUUAAGAGGUUAAAACAGCUCAUCCACAGGAACACAACUAGAAAGUGUCUAUAGCAGAAUUUAAACUCGAAUCAUUCCUGACUCCAAGGUCAAGAUCUCUGUCUACUCAACUACAUGAAUAAUAGAUAGCAUGUAGGUAGCAAUUUAAGGCAGCUAAGUGGCAAUAGUGGGUUGAGUGCCAGACCUGGAGUCAGGAAGACUCAUCUUCCUGAGUUCAAAUGUGGCAUGAAACAGUGUGUGACCCAGGGCAAGUCACUUAACCCUGUUUGCCUCAGUUUCCUCAUCUGUAAAAUGAGCUGGGGAAAGAAAUGGCAAACUUCUCUAGUAUCUGCCAAGAAAACCCCAAAUAGGGUCAUGAAGAGUUGAGCAUUAACUGGGAAUGAUGUGGGCAAUGCUGAUUGGGAUCUCAUCCAAGGAAUUGUUCGAUGGCUCAAACUGAAUCCAUUUGGGAGGAAACAAGCUUUAUUAUCAGAGAUAUUAUUAUAAAAUCAAAUAUUAUUAUUUAUUAUGGUAACAGAGUGGCUAUAAUCAGUUAAAUAGCCAAUACAGUAACUAAGGUAAGCAAAGGUAAAGGUGAGAAGCAAAAUUAAAGGUAAGAGUAAGAAUAAAGGUGAGUAGAGAUUUUUAAGAAUGCUUUUUUUUUUUUUUAAUCUUGAUUAGUUACUAAGAAAGGGAUCAUCUGUUUGGGUAGUUGUUGCCCUGUGUUUCUAAGGAACUGAAGUCACUUUACCCAAGGUUCACUUUGAUCCCCUUGGCUUUACCCAUGGUUCAUUCUGUUUGCCCACUCAAGGGAGUAAAUGGAAUGCUAACGAUAUGUUAAAUACCCUGGGGCAACUUUAGGUCAAAGUUUGCUCUAUUUUGCACAGACUCUAAGGAAAGCCCUGUGGAAAUUGAGCUUUGUCUACACCUAGUUUCUAUGCGCCUGGGAAACUGAACCACCUGUACUCGCUGUUCAGAGACCCCGACCAAGGACCUAGAUUAUAUAUCUAAAGAUUAAUCUGAGGAGUUUUCUUAAAAUUGUGAAUCUAAGCAACUCAUAUGUCUUAUCUGAAAGGUAGCCCCAUACUAAUUAACUAGUUAUUGUUUUUGUGCUCUUUUGAUUAUUUACAAUUACAUGGCAGGGUUUGUGGAACAUUUUAGCCUACGUCACGAUGACUGAACAACCACAAAGCACUUUGAGAUUUCUGAAGCAUUUCACUCAUGUUAUCUCAUAUGAUCCUCAAGAACCCAUUGAGGAGAGAUUGCAGAGAAGGCAUUGAUCUAGAAAGAGAUCCCUAUACUGGUGAAGGCACAAGUCCAGUGAAACAAAACAAAUAAAAUGAAAUUUUUGACUCCAAGUCAUUCUUGCCAAUAAAUACUUUUCCUCA